rnacentral:tRNA from 1 species
ACCAAACAACUACACUUAGACAGAGAGGACUCGAACCUCCACAUAAAAGUCCAAAACUCUUCGUACUCCCAA